AUUGAACGCUGGCGGCAGGCCUAACACAUGCAAGUCGAGCGGAUGAGAGGAGCUUGCUCUUCGAUUCAGCGGCGGACGGGUGAGUAAUGCCUAGGAAUCUGCCUAGUAGUGGGGGACAACGUUUCGAAAGGAACGCUAAUACCGCAUACGUCCUACGGGAGAAAGUGGGGGAUCUUCGGACCUCACGCUAUUAGAUGAGCCUAGGUCGGAUUAGCUAGUUGGUAGGGUAACGGCCUACCAAGGCGACAAUCCGUAACUGGUCUGAGAGGACGAUCAGUCACACUGGAACUGAGACACGGUCCAGACUCCUACGGGAGGCAGCAGUGGGGAAUAUUGGACAAUGGGCGAAAGCCUGAUCCAGCCAUGCCGCGUGUGUGAAGAAGGCCCUCGGGUCGUAAAGCACUUUAAGUUGGGAGGAAGGGCUUACAGCGAAUACCUGUGAGUUUUGACGUUACCGACAGAAUAAGCACCGGCUAACUUCGUGCCAGCAGCCGCGUAA
rnacentral:rRNA from 1 species